CACAACCUUCAAGGCGACAUUGUUGCUGCAGAUGUCGUUGAAUUCAAUCCCCAGCGUGACACUGUUGAUGGGAUGACUGCAAUGGUAGCUGCUAAGCUGGUGAGAGAGUUGGCUGCAAAGAUAUCAAAAUGAUAAAAUUAUCACGUGCCUUCCUUUGGUAUACCUGGAGACUAGACCUUCCAGCAUAACACAGAUUUUUGCAGUUUCAUUAUCUGAAAGUGUUAAACAUAGCUGCAGUAUGUAACUGAGAAUUCAUUUCCAGCAUGAUAUUUCAGUGGGGACAUCGUUGUGCUUAAUAUGUAUUAAUUUGUUUAAUGAGAAUAA
rnacentral:lncRNA from 1 species